rnacentral:rRNA from 1 species
GUGGGGAAUUUUGGACAAUGGGCGAAAGCCUGAUCCAGCCAUGCCGCGUGCAGGAUGAAGGCCUUCGGGUUGUAAACUGCUUUUGUACGGAACGAAAAGACUCCUUCUAAUAAAGGGGGUCCAUGACGGUACCGUAAGAAUAAGCACCGGCUAACUACGUGCCAGCAGCCGCGGUAAUACGUAGGGUGCAAGCGUUAAUCGGAAUUACUGGGCGUAAAGCGUGCGCAGGCGGUGAUAUAAGACAGAUGUGAAAUCCCCGGGCUCAACCUGGGAAAUGCAUUUGUGACUGUAUAGAUAGAGUACGGUAGAGGGGGAUGGAAUUCCGCGUGUAGCAGUGAAAUGCGUAGAUAUGCGGAGGAACACCGAUGGCGAAGGCAAUCCCCUGGACCUGUACUGACGCUCAUGCACGAAAGCGUGGGGAGCAAACAGGAUUAGAUACCCUAGUAGUCC